rnacentral:rRNA from 1 species
AUGGCGACGAGGGUGUCGUCGAUGUAUGACAUGGUGGAGCGGAUGCAGUACCUGUACGUGAGCGUGGUGAAGGCGUGCGACCUGGACAUCACCGGCGCGAUGGACGCGUACGUGGAGGUGAAGGCCAAGGCCAAGGCCGCGCUCCGCGACGAAAUAGUCGGCCGCGUCGUCUUCGACAGCAAGAUACACGCCAAGGACAACGGCGACCUGCAGCCGGCGGCGGAGAAGUUCCGAAAGAGCGCCAUCGGCGUGCUGGAGGUGGGCAUCCUUGGCGCACGUGACCUGGGCGACAACAAGUACCCCUACUGCGUGGCCAAGUACGGCGUCAAGUGGGUGCGCACGCGCACGUUGCUCCUCCGCACGGUGGGGCCAAUGUGGAACGAGCCGUACACCUGGGAGGUGUUCGACCUCAACACCAUCAUCACCGUCGUCGUCUUCAACAACAACCACCUCUCCGGCCGUGGCAACGGAUCAACCAGCAAGGACCAGCCGAUCGGCAAGGUGCGCAUCCGGCUCGCGACACUAGAAAGCCACCGCGUGUACACGCAUUACUACCCGCUCAUGGCGCUGAGCCCGAGCGGACUGAAGAAAACCGGGGAGCUCCACCUCGCCGUCCGGUUCACCUGCACGGCGUGGGCAAACAUGCUGGCGCAGUACGGGUGGCCAUUGCUGCCCGAGAUGCACUACACGAGCCCUAUCUCCGUGCUGAAGCUGGACUACCUCCGGUUGCAGGCGGUGCAAGUGGUGGCAAAAAGGCUCGGCAGGGCGGAUCCGCCGCUGCCUAGAGAGGUGGUGGAGUACAUGCUCGACGUCGGCUCACACAUGUUCAGCCUGCGCCGGACCAAGGUCAACUUCAACCGGAUCUCCUCGCUUUUAUCCGUCGCCAAGGGCAUCUGCAAGUGGAAGAACCCAUUGACGACGAUUUUGGUGCACGUGGUGUUCCUCAAGCUGGUGUGCAACCCGGAGCUGAUCCUGCCCGCCAUCUUCGUGUGCUUCAUCAUGGUCAUGGCGUGGAACUACUUCCGGCGGCCACGGGAGCCGUCGCACAUAGACACGGUGCUGUCACGCGUGGAGCUCGCGCAGCCCAACGAGCACAUAGACCCGGUUAUGUGGUGGUACACCGAUGUGGCCUACCCCGACGAGCUGGACGAAGAGUUUGACACGUUCCCGACAUCCAAGCCGGAUGACAUCGUGAGGCUGAGAUACGAGCGGCUGCGGAGCCUGGCCGGGAUGGUGCAGACGGCGGCCGGCGACGUUGCUGCGCAGGGGGAGCGCGUACAGUCGCUGCUCCGCUGGCACGACCCGAGGUUGACGCCCGUCUUCAUGGCCCUCUCGCUGGUGAUGGCCGUCGUAUUGUACCUGACUCCGGUACGGAUGUUGACCAUGGGGAUGGGGCUCUACUUCCUCCGGCCGCCGUGGUUCCGAGGCAGGACCAACCUGCUCUUCAACUUGUUCAGUCGUCUGCCCUCCAUGGAAGACGAGAUGCUAUAA